UACGGGGGGGGCAAGCGUUGUUCGGAAUUACUGGGCGUAAAGGGCUCGUAGGCGGCCAACUAAGUCAUACGUGAAAUCCCCAGGCUCAACCUGGGAACUGCGUCUGAUACUGGUUGGCUUGAAUCCGGGAGAGGGAUGCAGAAUUCCAGGUGUAGCGGUGAAAUGCGUAGAUAUCUGGAGGAACACCAAUGGCGAAGGCAGCUCGCUGGGACGUGACUGACGCUGAGACGCGAAAGCGUGGGGAGCAAACAGG
rnacentral:rRNA from 1 species